rnacentral:rRNA from 1 species
UACGGAGGGGGCUAGCGUUGUUCGGAAUUACUGGGCGUAAAGCGCGCGUAGGCGGACCUGCAAGUCGGGGGUGAAAGCCCGAGGCUCAACCUCGGAACUGCCUUCGAUACUGCGGGUCUCGAGUCCGGGAGAGGUGAGUGGAACUGCGAGUGUAGAGGUGAAAUUCGUAGAUAUUCGCAAGAACACCGGUGGCGAAGGCGGGUCUCUGGGCCACUACUGACGCUGAGGAGCGAAAGCGUGGGGAGCGAACAGG